rnacentral:rRNA from 1 species
GAUGAACGCUGGCGGCGUGCCUAAUACAUGCAAGUCGAGCGAAUGGAUUAAGAGCUUGCUCUUAUGAAGUUAGCGGCGGACGGGUGAGUAACACGUGGGUAACCUGCCCAUAAGACUGGGAUAACUCCGGGAAACCGGGGCUAAUACCGGAUAACAUUUUGAACCGCAUGGUUCGAAAUUGAAAGGCGGCUUCGGCUGUCACUUAUGGAUGGACCCGCGUCGCAUUAGCUAGUUGGUGAGGUAACGGCUCACCAAGGCAACGAUGCGUAGCCGACCGGAGAGGAGGAUCGGCCACACCGGGACUGAGACACGGCCCAGACUCCUACGGGAGGCAGCAGUAGGGAAUCUUCCGCAAGGGACGAAAGUCUGACGGAGCAACGCCGCGUGAGUGAUGAAGGCUUUCGGGUCGUAAAACUCUGUUGUUAGGGAAGAACAAGUGCUAGUUGAAUAAGCUGGCACCUUGACGGUACCUAACCAGAAAGCCACGGCUAACUACGUGCCAGCCGCCGCGGUAA